rnacentral:rRNA from 1 species
CAAUAGCGUAUAUUAAAGUUGUUGCAGUUAAAAGCUCGUAGUUGGAUUUCUGGUGGGCGCAUCCGGUCCGCUCCGCAAGGAGUGUGCACUGGCGAUGUCGCCGGCCACUUUUACGGCGAACGAUUCUGGCAUUAAGUUGUCGGGGUCGGGAGCCGUAUCAUUUACUUGUGAAAAAUUAAGAGUGUUUAAAGUACAGGCAUUUGUCUGUGAAUACAUUAGCAUGGAAUAAUAAGAUAGGACUUUGGUUGCUAUUUUGUUUGGUUUGCACGCCAAGGUAAUGAUUAACAGGGACGAGUUGGGGGUAGUUCGUAUUUUGUAUGUCAGAGGUGAAAUUCUUGGAUUUUCGUAAAGACGAACUUCUGCGAAAGCAUUUACCUAAGGAU